rnacentral:snoRNA from 1 species
UCCUCAAUCAAAAGCCAGUAUCAUUGGCUGUCCACAUUUCACUUACAUGUGGACGGUCUCUCUAAGCUGGUAGAUUGAAGUUCUUGUAACACGAACAACUUAAGUUCUGUCGUGGCAGCUAAACUCCCAAGUUCCAAGACACUAUUGUCGUUCAAACAACU